rnacentral:rRNA from 1 species
AGUGAACGCUGGCGGCAGGCCUAACACAUGCAAGUCGAACGACAGGACAGGAAGCUUGCGCCUCUACGGUUGGCGACGGGCGGACGAGUAAGAAAUACAUCAGCAUCUUCUUUUUCGGGGGGGACAACGGAGGGAAACUGAUGCUAACACCGAAUAUGUUCUACGGGGGAGAGCAGUGGAGAUUCGGACCUUGCGCGAUUGAUUGAGCUGAUGCCGGCUUGGCUAGGUGGCGGGGUAAAGUCACACCAAGGCGAGGAAACGUAGCCGACCUGAGAGGAGGAUCGGCCACCCUGGAACUGAGACACGGUCCGGACUCCUGCGGGAGGGAGCAGUAGGGAAUCUUCCGCAAUGGGCGCAAGCCUGACGGAGCAACGCCGCGUGAGAGAUGAAGGCCUUCGGAUCGUAAAACUCUGUUAUUAGGGAAAAACAAAUGUGUAAUUACCCAUGCACGUCUUGACGGUACCUAAUAAGAAAGCCCCGGCUAACUACGUG